UCUCCGUUGGUGAACCAGCGGAGGGAUCAUUACCGAGUUUACAACUCCCAAACCCCAUGUGAACCUUACCAAACGUUGCUUCGGCGGGAUGCCCCGGGCGCGGGCCGCAAGGCCUCAGCCCCGGAACCAGGCGCCCGCCGGGGGACCCAAACUCUUGUAUUUCUUACUUUGCAUGUCUGAGUGGAAUCAUAAACAAAUGAAUCAAAACUUUCAACAACGGAUCUCUUGGUUCUG
rnacentral:misc_RNA from 1 species